rnacentral:rRNA from 1 species
AACGGCCAUACCAUGCUGAAUAUACCGGUUCUCGUUAGAUCACCGAAGUCAAGCAUCAUUGGGCUCGGUCAGUACCUGGGUGGGUGACCACCUGGGAACACCGAGUGC